GAUGAAGAAGGUAGCGAAAUGCGAUACGUAAUGUGAAUUGCAGAAUUCAGUGAAUCAUCGAAUCUUUGAACGCAUAUUGCGCUCUCUGGUAUUCCGGAGAGCAUGCUUGUUUGAGUAUCAGUAAACACCUCAACUUCCAUAUCUUUUUUUGAAAUGGGAGUUGGACUUGAGUGAUCCCAACGCUUUUCCUCACCGAAAAGUGGCGGGUUACUUGAAAUGCAGGUGCAGCUGGACUUUUCUCUGAGCUAUAAGCAUAUCUAUUUAGUCUGCCUAAAAAACAGAUUAUUACCUUUGCUGCAGCUAACAUAAAGGAGAUUAGUUCUUGUGCUGACUGAUGCAGGAUUCACAAAGACAGCUUCGGCCGACUUUGUAAACUCGAUCUCAAAUCAAGUAAGACUACCCGCUGAACUUAAGCAUAUCAAUAAGCGGAGGA
rnacentral:misc_RNA from 1 species